GAAUUGCCCCAAUUGGUUGUCAUGACGGUCAUGCCUCAGUCAGUGAUUGGCUGAGAGGUCCAGUUUCAGCAUGGUCACAAAGUAACAUGGACGACAAAAAAGCCAAAAGGACUGGGUACUGAGAACAUUGUGACUGCAGUGGUGGGGGAGCAGAUCCGGAGGUCCAGUACUACUUCCUUUCCACUUGGGAUCCAUUGGGGGACACAGACCGUGGGUGCAUGCUGCUGUCUCUAGGAGGUGUGACGCUAUGGCAACAAGAAAGUCGGCUUCUUCCAGCAGGAUAUACCCGCCUCCAGGCCCUGAGCUAAUCAGUUUUAGUACCAGAGCAAUAGGAGAGGACCGACAGGUCAAGGAAAAAACACGAACUGUCCGAGAACCAGAAGAAAAGAUAUAACUGAACCCGCCCUCGGACAGAUAACCAAAGAGAAACCCAA